GGGGAUAACACUUGGAAACAGGUGCUAAUACCGGAUAACAACCAAAACCACCUGGUUUUGGUUUAAAAGAUGGCUUCGGCUAUCACUUUAGGAUGGACCCGCGGCGUAUUAGCUUGUUGGUAAGGUAACGGCCUACCAAGGCAAUGAUACGUAGCCGACCUGAGAGGGUAAUCGGCCACAUUGGGACUGAGACACGGCCCAAACUCCUACGGGAGGCAGCAGUAGGGAAUCUUCCACAAUGGACGAAAGUCUGAUGGAGCAACGCCGCGUGAGUGAUGAAGGGUUUCGGCUCGUAAAACUCUGUUGUUGGAGAAGAACAGGUGUGAGAGUAACUGUUCACAUCUUGACGGUAUCCAACCAGAAAGCCACGGCUAACUACGUGCCAGCAGCCGCGGUAAUACGUAGGUGGCAAGCGUUGUCCGGAUUUAUUGGGCGUAAAGCGAGCGCAGGCGGUUUCUUAGGUCUGAUGUGAAAGCCUUCGGCUUAACCGGAGAAGUGCAUCGGAAACCAGGAGACUUGAGUGCAGAAGAGGACAGUGGAACUCCAUGUGUAGCGGUGAAAUGCGUAGAUAUAUGGAAGAACACCAGUGGCGAAGGCGGCUGUCUGGUCUGUAACUGACGCUGAGGCUCGAAAGCAUGGGUAGCGAACAGGAUUAGAUACCCUGGUAGUCCAUGCCGUAAACGAUGAGUGCUAAGUGUUGGAG
rnacentral:rRNA from 1 species